AUUGAACGCUGGCGGCCGGCCUAACACAUGCAAGUCGAGCGAGCGGCGGACGGGUGAGUAAUGUCUGGGAAACUGCCUGAUGGAGGGGGAUAACUACUGGACACGGUAGCUAAUACCGCAUCCCAUCAGCUGUGCCCAGAUGGGAUUAGCUAGUAGGUGGGGUAACGGCUAACCUAGGCGACGAUCCCUAGCUGGUCUGCGAGGAUGCCCAGCCACACUGGAACGGGGACACGGUCCAGACUCCUACGGGAGGCAGCAGUGGGGAAUAUUGCACAAUGGGCGCAAGCCUGAUGCAGCCAUGCCGCGUGUGUGAAGAAGGCCUUCGGGUUGUAAAGCACUUUCAGCGGGGAGGCGUUACCCGCAGAAGAAGCACCGGCUAACUCCGUGCCAGCAGCCGCGGUAAUUC
rnacentral:rRNA from 1 species